GCUGCUGACUGUCAAAUAUGUGGAAAAACAUUGGUUAUUUUUCUUUUAAUUUUCCCACGUAUCCGCUGUCAUUACCUUGCAGAAAGUGACCGGAUUAUCACAGGAGUAUGGAGUAACGCCAUGGAUGGAAUAAGAACUUUAAUUUGUUCCUGUGUCGUUUGAAGUUUGGACAGUUCAGCAACAAGGAAAACAAAGUCCCCAGACUUCUUCGUAGUCGCUGGAAUCUUGAUAAACGUCUUUGCUGUUGGAUAGCCGAUUUCCCAA